rnacentral:rRNA from 1 species
AUUGAACGCUGGCGGCAGGCCUAACACAUGCAAGUCGAACGAGUGGCGGACGGGUGAGUAACGUCUGGGAAACUGCUCGAUGGAGGGGGGUAACUACUGGAAACGGUAGCUAAUACCGCAUACCAUCGGAUGUGCCCUGAUGGGAUUAGCUAGUAGGUGGGGUAACGGCUUACCUAGGCAACGAUCCCUAGCUGGUCUGAGAGGGUGACCAGCCACACUGGAACUGAGACACGGUCCAGACUCCUACGGGAGGCAGCAGUGGGGAAUAUUGCACAAUGGGCGCAAGCCUGAUGCAGCCAUGCCGCGUGUAUGAAGAAGGCCUUCGGGUUGUAAAGUACUUUCAGCGAGGAGGCGUUACUCGCAGAAGAAGCACCGGCUAACUCCGUGCCAGCAGCCGCGGUAAUAC